CUGAGAAGGAUUCCGUGGAUAGGCCACGUCAUGGCGAUCCCCAGGACACGGAAAAGAGCAAGCAACUCCCAAGGACGUUUGGGAAUUGGUUGCAAGGUUUUGCUGUGUUCACCAGUAUCCUAACCAGGUGUUUUCCGGAACGGGCACCUUCCUUGUUCGGCUAUCUAGAAAUUAUUUGGGGUGCAUAUAAGGUUUAUGGCGG